rnacentral:lncRNA from 1 species
UUAGUAGAGAUGGGGUUUCACCAUGUUAGCCAGGCUGAGGCAGGAGAAUAGAUUGAACCCGGGAGACAGAGGUUGCAGUGAGCCGAGAUCACACCACUGCACUACACCCUGGACAGUAAAGCAAGACUCCAUCACAAAAAACAAAAAAACAAAAAAACAAAAAAAAAAAUUUUUUUUCACCAAAUUAUUUUUACAUGGAAUGUCUCAAACAGAUUUAAGGCUGCAAACUUGUUAA